UACGAAGGGGGCUAGCGUUGCUCGGAUUGACUGGGCGUAAAGGGCGCGUAGGCGGUUCGUACAGUCAGACGUGAAAUUCCUGGGCUCAACCUGGGGGCUGCGUUUGAUACGUGCGGACUUGAGUGCGGAAGAGGGUCGUGGAAUUCCCAGUGUAGAGGUGAAAUUCGUAGAUAUUGGGAAGAACACCAGUGGCGAAGGCGGCUCACUGGACCGACACUGACGCUGAGGCGCGAAAGCGUGGGGAGCAAACAGG
rnacentral:rRNA from 1 species